CAGUAGCCACGGUAAGACGAACCGUGCGAACGUUAUUCGGAAUCACUGGGCUUAAAGCGCGUGUAGGCGGGCCGCCGCGUCGGCUGCUGAAAUCCCCCGGCUCAACCGGGGAACGGGCACCGAUACGGGCGGCCUCGAGGGGGGUAGGGGGGCCUGGAACUUCCGGUGGAGCGGUGAAAUGCGUUGAGAUCGGAAGGAACGCCCGUGGCGAAAGCGAGGCCCUGGACCCUUUCUGACGCUGAGACGCAAAAGCCAGGGGAGCGAACGGGAUUAGAUACCCCUGUAGUCCCUGUCUCUUAUU
rnacentral:rRNA from 1 species